rnacentral:rRNA from 1 species
CCUACGGGGGGCUGCAGUGGGGAAUAUUGGACAAUGGGGGGAACCCUGAUCCAGCCAUGCCGCGUGUGUGAAGAAGGCCCUCGGGUUGUAAAGCACUUCAGUGAGGAAGAACGCCUGGUGGUUAAUACCCAUCAGGAAAGACAUCACUCACAGAAGAAGCACCGGCUAACUCCGUGCCAGCAGCCGCGGUAAUACGGAGGGUGCGAGCGUUAAUCGGAAUUACUGGGCGUAAAGCGCGCGUAGGUGGCUUGAUAAGCCGGUUGUGAAAGCCCCGGGCUCAACCUGGGAACGGCAUCCGGAACUGUCAAGCUAGAGUGCAGGAGAGGAAGGUAGAAUUCCCGGUGUAGCGGUGAAAUGCGUAGAGAUCGGGAGGAAUACCAGUGGCGAAGGCGGCCUUCUGGACUGACACUGACACUGAGGUGCGAAAGCGUGGGUAGCAAACAGGAUUAGAUACCCGUGUAGUC